rnacentral:lncRNA from 1 species
UCGGGAUGUGACAAACUUGGCAUCAGAGCACAAAGUUCAAGUGUCCUAGGGUGUUUAUGAAGCCGUAUCGGUAGGAUCUUGUUUAUGGUUGUGAGUUCCCCACUUCUAUAAAUGAGGGACUGAAGGCAUUUAAGAAAAGUUUCCCUUCUCUAUACUCUAAAUCUUGCAAUAGAACUAUGUCAUAAAGGACUUAUUCUAACUCGUACGUUCUCAUAUCAAUUGGACCACCCCUCAUACUGAAGGUGGUUGAAGUAAAGCCCAAGAUCCUUAUGGAUGAGUUAUUCUUAGCAAAAAUGUUGAGGAAGUCAUGAGACUGUAGAGGGGCUUGAGAGGAGCAUGUGAGUGAGUUAACUAUUGAGUUUCGAAAGAAUGCACUCAUAUUCAUAUGAAUCGUGCAUUUGAGCUGAAAGCAAGAUACACUCUUUUCUCUAUAACCUUAUUCAGGUGAGACCCUUAUGAGGAAGUGUGUUUUGGAGCUUCAGUUGUGUGUUCACUCGAAAAGAUAGUAUGAGUUACGAGAUUAUGAACAGAAGUAGUAAAAGUACCCAGAGUUAGAGGAAAGUAUGUAGAGGUAUAGUAAUUUAUGAAAGGGAGGUAGUGAUGUGGCUGAUUAUGUUGUUGCAAUCAUGUACCCAGUCAGUUAUAAAUGAUGAGUUUCCUUUAUGAAUAGACUGUAAUACCCCAAAAAUUUCUAAGUUAAGACCCAAACUAUUCUUCAUUUACAUGUAAGGUCGUAUCGGGUAAUUCUUAAAUUGACCAUAUGCGUAAAGGUAAAUUCUUUAGUUUGAGAAUGAUUUUGGAUAUUAAAUAAGGUCACUAGAAACUCCUAGCACAAAGUUGAGUUGAAAGUUUCCUUCAUGAUUAAGUUUUGAUGUAAGAUUCUACUUGGGUCAACUUCAAACGACCAUAUCUCUUAGAAUAUAAAGAGUUACAUGGACCAUAGCUUAUCAAAUUAAAGGUAUUUGAAUCUUCUUUCCAACGCCAUCAAUUUUGCAACAAUCUGAGUUUUGAGUAAAAUGUAAU